CCUACGGGGGGCUGCAGUAAGGAAUAUUGGUCAAUGGGCGCAAGCCUGAACCAGCCAUGCCGCGUGAAGGAUGACGGCCCUAUGGGUUGUAAACUUCUUUUGUACGGGAAAAAACCUCUGGUCGUGAAUCAGAGCUGAUGGUACCGUAAGAAUAAGCAUCGGCUAACUCCGUGCCAGCAGCCGCGGUAAUACGGAGGAUGCGAGGGUUAUCCGGAUUCAGUGGGUUCAGAGGGAACGCAGGCGCAGCAGUGAAAGCCUACAGCUUAACUGUAGAACUGCCAUUGAUACUGUUAUUCUUGAGUGUUGUUGAGGUAGGCGGAAUGUGUCAUGUAGCGGUGAAAUGCUUAGAUAUGACACAGAACACCGAUCGCGAAGGCAGCUUACCAAGCAACAACUGACGCUCAUGCACGAAAGCGUGGGGAUCAAACAGGAUUAGAUACCCGAGUAGUC
rnacentral:rRNA from 1 species